rnacentral:rRNA from 1 species
UACAGAGGUCUCAAGCGUUGUUCGGAUUCAUUGGGCGUAAAGGGUGCGUAGGCGGCGCGGUAAGUCUGGUGUGAAAUCUCGGAGCUCAACUCCGAAAUUGCACUGGAUACUGCUCUGCUAGAGGGCUGGAGAGGAGAUCGGAAUUCACGGUGUAGCAGUGAAAUGCGUAGAUAUCGUGAGGAAGACCAGUGGCGAAGGCGGAUCUCUGGGACGGUACUGACGCUGAGACGCGAAAGCGUGGGGAGCGAACAGG